UGCCAGCAGCCGCGGUAAUACGAAGGGACCUAGCGUAGUUCGGAAUUACUGGGCUUAAAGAGUUCGUAGGUGGUUGAAAAAGUUGGUGGUGAAAUCCCAGAGCUUAACUCUGGAACUGCCAUCAAAACUUUUCAGCUAGAGUUUGAUAGAGGAAAGCAGAAUUUCUAGUGUAGAGGUGAAAUUCGUAGAUAUUGGAAAGAAUACCAGUGGCGAAGGCGACUAACUGGGCCAUCUUUGACGCUGAGAUACGAAAGCGUGGGUAGCAAACAGGAUUAGAUA
rnacentral:rRNA from 1 species